rnacentral:misc_RNA from 1 species
GAUGAAGAACGUAGCGAAAUGCGAUAAGUAAUGUGAAUUGCAGAAUUCAGUGAAUCAUCGAAUCUUUGAACGCACAUUGCGCCCGCCAGUAUUCUGGCGGGCAUGCCUGUUCGAGCGUCAUUUCAACCAUCAAGCCCCAGGCUUGUGUUGGGGACCUGCGGCUGCCGCAGGCCCUGAAAACCAGUGGCGGGCUCGCUAGUCACACCGAGCGUAGUAGCAUACACAUCGCUCAGGGCGUGCUGCGGGUUCCGGCCGUUAAACCCCUUUUUUACCCAAGGUUGACCUCGCAUCAGGUAGGAAGACCCGCUGAACUUAAGCAUAUCAAUAAGCGGAGGA